rnacentral:sRNA from 1 species
GCUGGGCUUGGUGGCAUAUGCCUGUAAUCCCAGCUACUUGGAGGCUGAGACAGGAAGAUCAGGAAGUUGAGAAAGGAGGAUCACAAAUUCCAGGCCAGCAUGGGCAAUUUAACCCUGUCUCAA